rnacentral:rRNA from 1 species
CAAAUCAGGUAGGACUACCCGCUGAACUUAAGCAUAUCAAUAAGCGGAGGAAAAGAAACUAACAAGGAUUCCCCUAGUAACUGCGAGUGAAGCGGGAAAAGCUCAAAUUUAAAAUCUGGCGGUCUUCGGCCGUCCGAGUUGUAAUCUGGAGAAGCGUUUUCCGCGCUGGACCGUGUACAAGUCUCUUGGAACAGAGCGUCAUAGAGGGUGAGAAUCCCGUCUUUGACACGGACUACCAGUGCUAUGUGAUGCGCUCUCGAUGAGUCGAGUUGUUUGGGAAUGCAGCUCAAAAUGGGUGGUAAAUUCCAUCUAAAGCUAAAUAUUGGCGAGAGACCGAUAGCGAACAAGUACCGUGAGGGAAAGAUGAAAAGCACUUUGGAAAGAGAGUUAAACAGUACGUGAAAUUGCUGAAAGGGAAACGAUUGAAGUCAGUCGCGUGUGCUAGAACUCAGCCUUGCUUUUGCUUGGUGCAUUUUCUAGUGUACGGGCCAGCAUCAGUUUUGGCCGCCGGAAAAAGGCCUUGGGAAUGUGGCACCUUCGGGUGUGUUAUAGCCCUUGGUUGUAUACGGUGGCUGGGACUGAGGAACAUAGCAUGCCUUUACGGCGGGGCUUCGGCCACCUUCAUGCUUUGGAUGCUGGCGUAAUGGCUUUAAACGACCCGUCUUGAAACACGGACCAAGGAGUCUAACAUGCCUGCGAGUGUUUGGGUGGAAAACCCGAGCGCGCAAUGAAAGUGAAAGUUGGGACUUCUGUCGUGG